rnacentral:rRNA from 1 species
AUUGAACGCUGGCGGCAUGCCUUACACAUGCAAGUCGAACGGUAACGGGCCUUCGGGUGCCGAUGAGUGGCGAACGGGUGAGUAAUACAUCGGAACGUGCCCGAUCGUGGGGGAUAACGAGGCGAAAGCUUUGCUAAUACCGCAUACGAUCUACGGAUGAAAGCAGGGGACCGCAAGGCCUUGCGCGGACGGAGCGGCCGAUGGCAGAUUAGGUAGUUGGUGGGAUAAAAGCUUACCAAGCCGACGAUCUGUAGCUGGUCUGAGAGGAUGAUCAGCCACACUGGGACUGAGACACGGCCCAGACUCCUACGGGAGGCAGCAGUGGGGAAUUUUAGACAAUGGGCGCAAGCCUGAUCCAGCCAUGCCGCGUGCAGGAUGAAGGCCUUCGGGUUGUAAACUGCUUUUGUACGGAACGAAAAGCCUUCUUUUAAUACAGGAGGGUCAUGACGGUACCGUAAGAAUAAGCACCGGCUAACUACGUG